AAAUUAUAAUAGAAGAGAAGUGUGUAGGUAUGACGAGGAACCGAGGACAGUGUGCGCGCAGCGUGUACAGCGUGUGGAAAAAACGCACGAAUUAUUUUUGGAAAUCCGGCGAACGUUGUUAAAAACGCUCUUCUAUUUAGCUCUUAUUUGCGUUUCUGGCGACGGAAAAUAAUUUCAACAGUCGUGUGGUGACUGAAAAAUUGCGUGCCCGUGAGUUAUUAAAUAAACGGAUUCUCAUCAUUGGCCAUCGACGUUAAGCAAUAACGUGGAUUUGUGCAUUCCUGAUGAAACUGCAUAGUCUGUACCGUCUGUUUGGCUCUUACCACAAUGAAAAUAUAACGUAUCUAAAAAAUAUGUUCUCAUAGGUAAUAUAUUAAAACAUUAUCAUUGUUUUCCCCCAAGACUUCCGAGUGCAAUCUCUACAUGGAUCGGAUUGGUUGAAUUGGUUGGAUUUGUAGUGUUUUUGCUUUGUUUGAAGUACUUGAAAAAAAAAAAAAAGAAAAAAAAAAGUGAAAAACAUGAUCUCGUACGUAUACACUCAUCGUUUCGUCCGUUCGAUUUCACACGCGUACCGACGGUCGAAAAUCCGUCUACUCCGACCACCACCCUCCCCCCGACAAGUUUGCCGUAUAAUCUCAGGAUCCCGGCCCGUACGUGACGAACGUCGAAUACCCGGGCCGGUUUUUAAAAAACACGAGUUUGCUCGUUAAAAACUCGAAAUAAACAGCUCCAGUCGUUAAUUCGUUAACGGCGUUUCAUACGGGCCAUAUGCAUAUCCAUAUUGUAUAAACAGUUUUCGACAGAUUCCCCCGUCUACGUUAUUUUCGUUCUCGAUUUCUUUGUUCUCGUAUCGCUUGUGUGUCCGUAUGUUCGUCUUCGGCACGGCGCGUUCGUGCCGCACGCCCACGCGUACCGCAAUAUUUAUUGUUAUUUAUAACGAUUUCGCGUUUUUACGCGAGAUUUGUAUGCGAACGGGUACCGACGGAACAUAAUAUACAGGGGGCCCGAUUGUGGGGACCACUCUCCCGCCGUCGGUAGGCAAGUACAUCCUCGAAAUAGUCUUAUGACGUCAUCACGUUUCGUAUUAUUGUUUUACGAUUUUUUCGUGUCCGCGUACAGCCACCGUGAUCUUUUCAUGUACCGUGUGAUCCUUUUGUCGUCCAACACUCUCGUUACCCCGGGAAGUAUCAACUCGUUUCGGAAUCCGUUUUAUAAGAAACAAGCAGCUCUGCACUUUUACAUUUACAUUAUUUAUUUAUUUUUUUUUUUUUUUGUUGCCCUAAUUUUCGGGCGUUAAACGACUAUCCACUUUUUAUUUCCGAAUAGCAAACUGUAAAACAAACAAAAAAAAUCCCACAAACAGACGGGGUAUUAGUUAAAAUUAAUGUUGGUGUUGAAAUGUUCGAUGACCGUCAGUCCGUUGACGAGAUAUUCCACCUUUAAGUUUGGGUCAAUAAGAAUCGCUCGGCAUAUAUUAUAUAAAAUUGAAAUGCCGUCUGGGCGUCCGCGUGUCGCCGCUGUAUGCAAAACCAUACGGUUUUUUUCCCGGGCUGGACGAAACGUUGCAAGCUUUGCGUACAAAACGGUAGACGAAGGUGGCCAUCUUUUAUCUCGAAAUUUAACCGCUAAACGAACACCGACGAUCGAAUUUCGAUAGUUAUUUUUAAAACGAAACAGAUCCGAAUUUGUCGGUCAAUAUUCGGGUCACCGCCUCAGUGACGUGAAUGAAAUAAAAAAAAAAAAAUGUAAAAAAAAAAAACCAGUUAUUAUCAUUUAGUUGUACCAGACAUGAAAGUACCAUUAUUGUUAAAAGAUAAAUUAUCGGGAAUCGUCAAUAACUGCCAUAUACGGAUAAGGGUAGAAACGAGUAAACACGGUCGAUUUCAUUUUUUUCUUUAUUGAUUUUUUUUUUUUUUUUUGAAAGUAUUGAGUCCGGGAAAUUCAAUUAGUAAUCUCAUAUACCUACACGAAUGAUUUGAAAAAAAAUGAACAGACAUAUUUCGUACGUGGGUGCAGUCACUUUUGUAGGGGGAAAUACAGACGGGAAUUUAAUGUACAUCUGUAAGGAACGAUAAACCAUCGAUAACGAAAAAACGAUUCUGAACAGAGUUCAGUUGAUAGUAUGACAGUCGUCAUAUUAUAGUCAAAUUAUUACAACAAUGUGCAUUCCUAUGACAACAAUGAUUGUUUAGGAAAAGAUUUGAAAUAAUAAAAACUUAGUAAUAACAAAAAAAUAAAUAAAACCGGUUACCAAUAACAACCUUAUUUUUAAUCUUUCAAUCUUUUUUAACCUAAAUAACCUGGUUUUUCUCGUAGAUUUUUGAGAUUUUCGUUACAUUGUUUUUGUCAAUAAUUGUAUUUGAAUUUUUUUUCGUUAAUUUUUAAACACAAUAAUAAUAACAACAAUACAUUUUUCAUCAUUGCAUAUUUCAGUUGGUUUUUUUUAAAUUUUAAAUUUUACAUGUUGAAUUUCGGGACGCUUUUUCGGGAUUCUAUAAGUAUUUUUACUAUUUUUUUUUUUUUGUCAAAUAUGUUUUAAUACGUUAUAUCUUUAUUUUUAUUACAGGCACGCGGUUACUAUAUAGUAUACGACGGCGGCUUCUUGAUUUUUAUUAUUAAUAAUUCAUUUCCGAAAACAGGCGCCCAGCAGAGACUACGACGACGGGAAACACGUGUGGAUCACAACACGUGUGAUCUGCGUCCUCGCGUGCGCGAGUAUAAAUAGCGUACACGGUCUUUGUUUUUACGCGUGUCGUGCAUACAGGGUGAUUCUUUUUAUCGCGAACCGGCAGUUGUAUCCUACUACUAUGAUGGUUUUUGGUAAGAAUUUGAUUUUUGAUUUUUUUUUUUUUUCCUGUCAGUCCGUUAUUGUAUAUUUUUAUAAAACUUGUUUACAAACACCGCGAGUGUAUUUACGAUCACCGUAUUAUUUAUUUGAUGAUAAAUUUACUUCCGGACGGGCUCUAUGGCCGACCCACGGCAGUAUACGAAUCACUCUGUACGUCCUACAUGGACCGGCGGCGCUACAACACGUGACCCCGUGCGCACGACCGGAAAUCCCGGGAGGCGUCGAUGCGCAUGGAGAUAACAUGAGGAUUCGAGGUGAUCACAAAGCUCCAGGAUAGCACUGUACUCGGUUACAAUGUUUCAAACGCGUGUCAGUUCGUCCGUAACUUGCUGUUACGCUGUAAAAUGUUUAAUAAUAUCGUAUGGAAAAAAGUAACCGUAAUAAUUUCAACAGGUCACGUUUUUCAACAAUAAACUAUUUCGAUUUAAUUCUGUAGUGUUUACCUACUAAUUAAUAAACGAGAGCAUAUGAACUGUAACUCGGUCGGUUAUUAAGUCGAGUUACUAUUGGGUUACUACAGCCUAGUGUUGGGUAACCGCGGUAGGAAUUUGUCUACACGUUUUUCAACCGGGGGGGGGGGAUUUUCGAAACGCAUCAGAACCGGGAGGGGGAGGGGGGAAUUUCAUAUUAAUGUAUAGUAAUCCGCGACCCGUCCAAAUGCACUCCAACGGGGGCGAAUCGUUUUCGUACGAGAACGGAUUACUGAGCACUGUCCGCGGUGCUUACAGUGUUUUACGCGACAACGAACUGAGACGUUGGUGCACGGGGUACGGGGCGCAACGAAUUGUUCCGGAGCCGCGCAUUGGGAAUCCAACGGCUUCGGACAUUGUUUUGACGAACACACUGGAACCGGCGAACUGCACAGGCGGUAACCCCGGCGACGCCGUGUGCCCGCGUCCGUAAACGCAGCGAUCGCGCGGUGACGCCGAGAAAACGACAUCGGAGACGCAACCCGAACGAGUGAAACGUUGAAAUUCAGCGCGCGUACGCCGGGACGUUACUCGGUAGACCACCGGUCGCCGAAUGUGACUGAAUAACCCCGCGGCGGCCGGUCGGAAUACGGCGGUGUAAACGGCACGCGCGGCGUCUUUGGAGAGCCGGAGUACGGUCGAAUAUAACGGCCUGACGGAGGACGUCCGUCGAUAGCGACGGACGGACGGACGGACGGAUGUGGUCGAAACCGUAACGUGGAGAAACAAACGCUAUAUUAUCGUGUCGUAACGAAUUGACGAGAGAGAGAGAGAGACAGAGACGGAGAGACGGAGACGGAGAGUGUGUGCGUGUGCGCACGAUCGCGAGGAGCGGACGGCGGCCGCAGAAACUCCCGGGGAGACACUGGACGCCGGAAAAAGAAAAAAAAAAAAUUGUAUAUUUCGACCGUCGACAACAAUUGCAGAUGCGACACGCGCACAGUGUGCAAAUCGAACGUAAUAUUUCGCGGCAUUAAUAAGCCACCACGGAAUAUUAUAAUAAUAUCGUCGUGCCAUCGUGCGAGACGACCGAUCGGUACAAUAUGAUAUUAUACAAUUACCCGUAAUAGUGUACAAAAGUCGAUGUGCAGCGUCAACAACGACACGAGCGUAUUGUAUCGUAACGAUUUACUUUGCACGGUAAUCGGCGCACCCGCGUGCAUUAUAUUAUAUCGUACCCGCCGGGGCUCCGGCAGACAAUGAUAUUAUCGUAACGUUAUACGGGUUACGCCGCAUUUGGCGUAAUAAUCGUUAUCGCUUGGCUAUUUUUUAAAUUUUAUUUAUUUUCGUGUUGACCUCAUUAAAGGCGUUAAAAAAAAAUUAAAAAAAAAAAAAAACAAUAACUAAGCACUUUGCGUACACAUAAUAUACGUUCGAUAUAAUAUCCGCGGCCCGUACGAAGCAUACGGAGUUAUAACGUGCGCGCGCGUUAUGUGUAUGUAUACAGUACGGAGUUUGGAAAAAAAAAAAAAAAAGGUAACGCGACCUACCGCGUGUAUUAAUAUACGCGUAUUGUUUUUUUAAAAAUAUUAUAUUGUAUUUACAAUUAUUAUUAUGAAGAAGCCGGACGUGCGGUACUUUCGCGCCGCGUGGGUAGGCCUCUGUCGUAGGCGCGAAAUCCGUACACACAGUAAUUUAUUAUACUACGUUAAAAGCGGCGGUAAAUCAUUGGAAUCCGAAAACAAAUCUGAACGUAACACGGUAAACUGGCGCGUGUUUUGUUUCCCAGCAUGUAUGCGGGGGGGGGGGCGGAAGGUUCAACCGGGAAACCAACAGAAACAAAAACAAUGUAUCGUCGUUUGGGCCGUUGUCAAUUAUUUUUUUCAAUCGACUUUCCUCGGUUGAAAAUCGAAUUUUGAAAUGUUUAAGAGUACCAAAAGUUGUAGAGUCGUUUUCAAGUAAACUUCGUGACGAACCACAGCAUGUUUUCAAGAGUUGUAGCCGUCCGUUUGCUACAGGACAGCCGGUACGAUUGACACAACAGAGGUCUAUUUCGAUAGAAAACAAAGCCGGUAUCGAAUGCUCUCGGGUAACAAUUUUUAAUUAUUUACCGCCGCGAUUAACGAAUAAUAAUUGUGCAUUACAAAUGUGUACGAUGUAGAGCUUACGGGCAAAAAUUAAUUAACAACUGCAUUUGAAAUUAAUCACGAGCCGCUAAUGCCGUUCUGCGCUCCGCGGCCUUGGGUUCGGCGAUGUCAAUACACCUUUUUCAGAAAAAAUAUCUACUUUACCGCGGGUCCCGAGUACUCGCUCCCGCAGUCGGAGCAGUAAACACGAUAAUCCGCCAUACGUUCAAUAUGAAUAUUAUAAUAAUAAUAGAAUUUGAACGGAUAUAAACGGAUUAUAUAGUCAUUUUUCAUCCGAGGACAUUCGCGAACGAUUUGCUCGGCCAACGAUGUUAUCGGCGCCUACGCGAUACGAUUAUGAUCCGUGCGGGUCCUCUGCAUUUCUAAUCAGCUCCUAAAAUACUCGCGUUGUACGGAGUGGUGUUCGAAACCGCCGUUUCGGCAGUGCAGCUACGCCUCCUGCCCGUUCGCUCCCGAAUGUAUUCUGAACUCGAUUCUCGUCGUAAACAUGAAACGACGCGCGCGCCUACUUUAUAUGCAUUUUCGAAAUCACCCCUGCCCCCGUUAUCCGCCCGAACGUCGGGCAAAAUUAACAACCCUCGUUUCCGUCGAUUUUUCAUUCGUUCGUUUCCUUUCCGUUUAACGCGAGACACAAUGCCCCGCACUCGACGAGAACGCCGUCGCGUUCGGCGCGGGUCGUCCCGGCAUGGCGUCGCCGGAGCUCUGACGAUUCGCGAUUAUGCGUAUUUCGACCGCGUACACGUUACAAUAACAAUAAUACGAUCGGAACGGAUUGGUAAUUAUUAUUUACGUAAACGCGGACGGUGUAACGGCUUCUCUUGAAACGCGCGUAUUAAUCGUACGGACGCCGUCCAAACGAAACCCGCAGCGGUUUUUUUUCAGAAACGACGGACGAAUACGGGAAUUUCCGGGGGAAAACCGGCGAAUCCGACCCGACGGUUGUGCGCUUACUUUUAAUCCGUUCACGAAGCAAACGCGGUAUAGAUAGUAAACCGCGCGACCCGGUCUCGGCAGUGUUGUCCGCCCGCGCCGACGUUGGCCAUUACGGUCGUCGCGCGUGCUCGCCGGGGCCCGCCCGAGAUAGUCGAAAAACCCACGGGCCGCCCGAAUCGCGGUAACACGUCGCGCGUUGCGUACGCAGGCGCCCGCGAUGUUAUUAACGCGCAUCGGCGAUGUGCGCGUGCGCGCGUACCGGGAACAGUAUUAUUACGCUUACGGGCCGGACACGAUUUCCGAACAUCUGGUACCGCGUGCGCGGCGUCUGCGGCGACGGCGCAAAUUGAAACGUCGGGGACACACGCCGCACGUAGUGUGUACAACAGCAACGACAGUGCGUAGCACGACGUGCGCGACAUAGUAUUUCCAUACGUACGCCGCCCCGGUGUUUCGAUGGAAACUGGUUCAAGGGUCUUUGCCCGAAAUUAAACACUCAACGGCGACAAAGCGCCGCGGCCGGGGAACGCGAUUUGCACGUUGAACGCAACGAUAUUUUAUAUUGUCGUUUUGGACGGUUAACAAGACGCGCGUGAACUCGUACGCAAACGCAAAUCGAUGAUGGUUGAGUACGUUUUUAUUCGUGUUUUUUUUUUUUUUAUCCUUUCGUAUAUGCGUACUGCGGUUUACUACUUUAUUAUUAUUAUUAUUAUCGUUUUACUACGCGCUGCAGACGUGGCGUCGCAAACAAUAGCCGAGGUCUCUGCGCGUUUCGGCACUCGCGUGUUUAUCGCGCGCGAAACAGAAAAUUAAAAUGUCCGUUAAACGCACCUACGUGUUACGGUGUCCGCACUACCGCGGAGCGGUCCGUUACGGUUUUCAGCGUUACCCCGUUUACGCGUGUUGUUCGGACGCGAGCGAAUUGAAAACACUGCGGUGAGCGGACGGGGAAAAGUCGUGUCUAUAACGACGCGAGAGGGUGGACGAUAGAGGAGGGGAAAGGGAUCGUCAUGUUAUUAUAAUAUCCCGUAACGCGAAAAUUUUAUAUUGCAAUCGAUUCGCUUAAUUGAUUUUUACGUACGUCACGACAGUGAUAUUAUUGCGUAAAUUAUUCGAAGAAAUUCGUGUAAUGGCGGUGAGUAAUAUAGCGUGGCGAUAUACGUUUACGCAACCACAGUAAUAGCAACAAUAAUUGAAUCCCGUGAAUGUUGCACUCUCAAUGAAACAUUUUUUUUUUUCCGUCAAACCGCUCGUGAAAAAAUUCGCUAAAAAAAAAAAAAAAAACAAUGCACAGUCGGGCACACGCGAAACGCGCGUACUGAACUCCGACGAGCCGCACAAAUUUAACGCGCGAACCCACCGAAUGCGUCUCGCGGCGAUGGAAAUUAUUUAUCGGCAUCGCGGAAAACUCAUCGUUCCCGUCCGAUCUCAACGAUCCGGCACGAACCGUGAAUGACGAUAACAUCGAUCGGUUUUUCGUCGAUAAACCCUGCGGCGGAUUACCCCCGUGCGUCCUCUAUGAAAUAUCGAUAACCGCGGUAUAUUAGGCAAACGUAACCGGGUUUUGUAUUUUCGGAAAACGAAUCCGAAACGAUUUCCGUAAACAGACGCGCGCAUUUCGUUCGUUUCGCUCGAGCUCCGCGCGUACGGCCGGUCGAAUCGCCGAUGAUGCGGGGGACGGGAAAGGUCGUCGAGUUUCGCCGUCGUUACUUUUCCGGGACUACACCCCGGACACCGCUGCACGCCGUCGGCACUUAACAGGUUUCCAGAUGUUUCCGCGGACGUGUUUCGUCACGGGCGCGUGUGAACGCAUUUCGAUUUCGGGACCGCGCCAAACGUCAUUUCGAGUUUUAAACGACGAUUUUUCAUAAGCCGCGGCGUACAUUAGCGGCGCGGUCAACUGCCGUACGGUAAUGUAGCCCGGAGACAGAGGGAGACGGCGAGAGCCGGAGAGACGGAGAGACGGAGAGGAGUGCACAGAACGGCGAUGACUUUCGUCUACAGCGUCGGGACAUUCCGGGGUAGGUAUGCGGCUAAUCCGCGUCGCACGCACACACGCUCGUCUCUUCUAUAAUUUUAAACCCCGUCACGUGUGCGGCGCAGUGUGCCGCCGCGUCAUCCCCUUUACACGCGGCACUCACGGUCCCCGAAAAGCGACAGUUUCUCGCCUCGAUCCAAACCCAAUUAUACGCGCCGCGAACGUAUACAGGGCGAUCGGCGCGUUACGUAUAUAAUGUAAAAAAAAAAAAAAAAAAAAACGCGCGGAAUUACCGUGGUAAAUGUCCCGUACACGGCGGCGACGCAGUGUGCGGCAUUCGAAAUUAGUGUACUGUGCGCGGGGCGGGGGGAGGGGUUUUUAACGAUAAAUACGAGACGUUUUUUUUUUUUUUUUUUUUUUUAACGAAAUUUCUAGCGGUCGACGCGAACCCCGCGUACGUCCGCGGGCCGAAACGAUUUCGAAACCGCCACCGACCUUCAACCCCGUCCCGCCAUACGCCGGGUAAAUCGCCGCGACACAUUUAAUUUCCGAUCGCCCUGUAUGCGGCCGCGUACGCGGUUUCUCACGGACGGGCUCGCACGCUCAUCGUUUUAAUAACGUACACAACACUAUUAUCAUGAAUUCUAUUCGAAACGCGGUGUCCCGGCGGAGGGAAACCUGUUGGUCGCGCGGCAGCGGCGCAUUUGUUAUUUGUGUCGCGUUGACACAACGACAAUGAGCGACACAACCCCGUCGGUCGUCCGACUAUUGUGCGGGUCAUGUGCGCGCCGCCCCCCGACUGUGCAGCGCGCGUAAAUGUUCCGCAGUGCAACGGUGUCGCCGCAGCGCGAACUGCGCGCGUCAAACGGCGAUCGGAUGUCGGAAAAUGUACGCGGCAACACGGCCCGGCCGACGACGUCCGAUACAGUGGCCGCCCGGCGAGUCGUGGGAAUUGUCCGUCCGUCGCCGCGCCGUGUAGCCCCCGCGUUACUUUUCCGACGUUCCGCCGCAUUAUUUCCGUCGUCCCGAUACACGCCACACCGCCCCCCCCUCCCCCGUUCCGUUUGGGACUGCGUACGCGAUAACAAACCUACGGCCGCGCGGGAAAGCGAUCGCCGGGUACUUUCAAGUACUUUCAAUCGGUACCCGUUUGAAUGUGGGUACACGUCUCGUCUGCGGGGUGUUUUUCAACGGCUUUAUUGAAAUCAAAAGUGUCCGAGCUCGAAUUUAUUGCGACUGCGUCUUAUUUAUGGAAUUUUUAACGUAUUUCGCCGUUUGAAUGUCGAAAGUCGAUAGCGCUUUCGCUCCCGAAAAUUAGGGCGACAAAAAUCACAUAAAUGUAAUGAAUCGUAGGCGUGCGCGUUUCCUGAAUGUUCUAGAAAACAAACUCGGUAACGGUAAAAGUCCCGGGGCAACCAGUGUACGCUUGUAAAAAACGGAUCGCCCGGGAACCGUAGGUGUGCGAACGACAACGCCCAGUUGCGGUCGUAUAUGUGGAAAUUACCGAUAAGAACGCGAGAAAACAGCCGCUCGCGGCGAAUCCUCGUUCCGUCCGCAAACGCGUUGCAAAAACGUACACGCGGCAGUGUGCGUCGCGGAGUAUCGGACGGCACC